rnacentral:rRNA from 1 species
GGAAAAGGGGGCUAAUACCGGAUAGAUACAGUGUACGGUGGUAUGUUGUAGAAAGCUACUGCGCUUUGAGAUGGGACUGCGGCCCAUCAGCUACUUGGUAGGGUAACGGUCUACCAACGUAAAGACGGGUAAGGGGUGUGAGAGCUCUGCCCCCCACUAUGGGAGUGGAACACAGUCCAUACUCCUACGGGAUGGCUCAGGAUGGAAUAUUGCACAAUGGGCUAAAGCCUGACACAGCGACGCCGCGUGAGUGACGACGGCUUACGAGUUGUAAAACUCUUUUCUGGGGGAUGAGGAAGGACGGUACCCGAGGAAUAAGCGUCGGCUAACUAGGUGCCAGCAUUCGCGGUAAGACGUAGGACGCGAGCGUUAUCCGGAUUUACUGGGCGUAAAGCGCCUGUAUAGCGGCUUUGUAAGUUGGGCGUGAAAGGCCCGUGCUUAAUGCGUUGGAGGUCGUACAAUAGUGCGGAUCUAGAGUACGGCAGAUGGUAGUGGAAUUCGUGGAGUAGCGGUAAAAUGUGCAGAUAUCAGGAGGAACACCAGUGUCGAGGGCGGAUCCCUGGGCCGAGACUGACGGUCAGAGGCGAUAGCUAGGGGAUCGAACAGGAUUAGGAGACCC